UACAGAGGUCUCAAGCGUUGUUCGGAUUCAUUGGGCGUAAAGGGUGCGUAGGCGGCGCGGUAAGUCGGGUGUGAAAUCUUGGAGCUUAACUCCGAAACUGCAUUCGAUACUGCCGUGCUUGAGGACUGGAGAGGAGACUGGAAUUUACGGUGUAGCGGUGAAAUGCGUAGAUAUCGUAAGGAAGACCAGUGGCGAAGGCGGGUCUCUGGACAGUUCCUGACGCUGAGGCACGAAGGUCAGGGGAGCAAACAGGG
rnacentral:rRNA from 1 species